CGGUAAUAAUAAUUACUAUUUUUCUGCAAAACAGUGUGGACAUUUAAAAAUACUACCAAGCCAUAUUAGUAAGAUUCAACAGUUAUAUAAUCAAUAUUUAUCGAGUAAAACCAAGAAUAGAACAUACUAAAAGUUAUGUGUUUUGUUUUAAUUGCCAAUAAAUAUAGGCAUGACUCUUAAAUGUUUCCAUACUUUUCUAGAGGUCGCGCGUUCUAAAUAUAGUAACACUGUGACCGUAUAUAGCCUCGUUUUGAUUGUCAACAACCAGACGACAGUCUGAUAGCUGUGAGAGCAGAAUUGUAUGCGUGUAUGAAGAGUUGCAGUGAGACAAAUGAUCUAACCCAGACUGAGUAAUGUCAUCUCCAUCAUCUGACUCGAGAGAGAGGAGAACGUUUUAGAAAAUUAUUUCUUACACCUCAGUCAGUUCGCAUUUGACCGGGAGAAAGAACUUGCGGACAAGGAUAAAGGUGGAACUGCAACUUGCUGGGGCACUCUGCUGCAAUAUGUUUCUCACAACUAGCCACGGCAGAAAAAAUGUACAUGACCUUGACCUUGACCUUUUUAGGCCAGAAGAGGUUUCAUGGUAUUAGAAGGGCAAGGGAGAACCUUAGAAACAUCUACCAGUUUCUGAUUCAAGAAUUCAAGAGACUUGAUAGCUCGGGCCACAUGGACACCACACCCGGAUCAGCGCUCUUAGUGACCUGGAGAUUCUGCUGGCUCAUCUGUGCGGACAACUCUAUCACUACCUGACAGCUCGACACAAGAUGAUGGACUUGUAUCCAUCCAGACAUAAAAGGUAUUGGUGUGCCAAUUCUCCUUGACUAUGUCUAUGGAGUUGUCCCUGUGUCACUGUGCCACAGCAGUGGUGGCUGUGGCAUCACGACAAACACCGGCGGUGUACGGUUCGACUUCGAUGAAAUCAUCAACAGCAAUCAGCCAUGCCGAUCUCCAUACAG